rnacentral:rRNA from 1 species
AGUCGNGCGGCAGCACGGGUACUUGUACCUGGUGGCGAGCGGCGGACGGGUGAGUAAUGCCUAGGAAUCUGCCUGGUAGUGGGGGAUAACGCUCGGAAACGGACGCUAAUACCGCAUACGUCCUACGGGAGAAAGCAGGGGACCUUCGGGCCUUGCGCUAUCAGAUGAGCCUAGGUCGGAUUAGCUAGUUGGUGAGGUAAUGGCUCACCAAGGCGACGAUCCGUAACUGGUCUGAGAGGAUGAUCAGUCACACUGGAACUGAGACACGGUCCAGACUCCUACGGGAGGCAGCAGUGGGGAAUAUUGGACAAUGGGCGAAAGCCUGAUCCAGCCAUGCCGCGUGUGUGAAGAAGGUCUUCGGAUUGUAAAGCACUUUAAGUUGGGAGGAAGGGCAGUUACCUAAUACGUAUCUGUUUUGACGUUACCGACAGAAUAAGCACCGGCUAACUCUGUGCCAGCAGCCGCGGUAAUACAGAGGGUGCAAGCGUUAAUCGGAAUUACUGGGCGUAAAGCGCGCGUAGGUGGUUUGUUAAGUUGGAUGUGAAAUCCCCGGGCUCAACCUGGGAACUGCAUUCAAAACUGACAAGCUAGAGUAUGGUAGAGGGUGGUGGAAUUUCCUGUGUAGCGGUGAAAUGCGUAGAUAUAGGAAGGAACACCAGUGGCGAAGGCGACCACCUGGACUGAUACUGACACUGAGGUGCNAAAGCGUGGGGAGCAAACAGGAUUAGAUACCCUGGUAGUCCACGCCGUAAACGAUGUCAACUAGCCGUUGGGAGCCUUGAGCUCUUAGUGGCGCAGCUAACGCAUUAAGUUGACCGCCUGGGGAGUACGGCCGCAAGGUUAAAACUCAAAUGAAUUGACGGGGGCCCGCACAAGCGGUGGAGCAUGUGGUUUAAUUCGAAGCAACGCGAAGAACCUUACCAGGCCUUGACAUCCAAUGAACUUUCCAGAGAUGGAUUGGUGCCUUCGGGAACAUUGAGACAGGUGNUGCAUGGCUGUCGUCAGCUNGUGUCGUGAGAUGUUGGGUUAAGUNCCGNANCNAGCGCAACCNUUGUCCUUAGUUNCCAGCANGNNAUGGUGGGCACUCUAAGGAGACUGCCGGUGNCAAACCGGAGGAAGGUGGGGAUGACGUCAAGUCAUCAUGGCCCUNNCGGCNUGGGCUACACACGUGCUACAAUGGU